CAAUAUGAAGGUCAGGCUGAAGACCUUACCCGAUUAGCUGAGAGGUGGUGCAUGGCCGUCGUCAGUUCGUACUGUGAAACAUCCUGUUAAGUCAGGCAACGAGCGAGACCCACGUCCACAGUUGCCAGCAUACCCUCCGGGGUGAUGGGUACACUGUGGAGACCGCCGCUGCUAAAGCGGAGGAAGGAGUGGGCAACGGUAGGUCAGUAUGCCCCGAAUCUCCCGGGCUACACGCGGGCUACAAUGGUUGGUACAAUGGGCAUCUACCCCGAAAGGGGAAGGAAAUCUCUUAAAGCCAAUCGUAGUUCGGAUUGAGGGCUGCAACUCGCCCUCAUGAAGCUGGAAUCCGUAGUAAUCGCGUUUCAACAGAACGCGGUGAAUACGUCCCUGCUCCUU
rnacentral:rRNA from 1 species